AACGAACGCUGGCGGCAUGCCUAAUACAUGCAAGUCGAACGAGAUCUUCGGAUCUAGUGGCGCACGGGUGCGUAACGCGUGGGAAUCUGCCCUUGGGUUCGGAAUAACUUCUGGAAACGGAAGCUAAUACCGGAUGAUGACGUAAGUCCAAAGAUUUAUCGCCCAAGGAUGAGCCCGCGUAGGAUUAGGUAGUUGGUGAGGUAAAGGCUCACCAAGCCGACGAUCCUUAGCUGGUCUGAGAGGAUGAUCAGCCACACUGGGACUGAGACACGGCCCAGACUCCUACGGGAGGCAGCAGUAGGGAAUAUUGGACCAUGGGCGAAAGCCUGAUCCAGCAAGGCCGCGUGAGUGAUGAAGGCCUUAGGGUUGUAAAGCUCUUUUACCCGGGAUGAUAAUGACAGUACCGGGAGAAUAAGCUCCGGCUAACUCCGUG
rnacentral:rRNA from 1 species